AAUAUUGGACAAUGUGCGAAAGCCUGAUCCAGCCAUGCCUCGUGUUUGAAGAAUGUCUUCUGCUUGUAAAGCACUUUAAGUUGGGUGGAAGGGUUGUAGGUUACUACUCUGCAAUUUUGACGUUACCAACAGAAUAAUCACCGGCUAACUUCGUGCCAGCAGCCGCGGUAAUACGAAGGGUGCAAGCGUUACUCGGAAUUACUGUGCGUAAAGCGCGCGUAGGUGGUUCGUUAAGUUGGAAGUGAAAGCCCCGGGCUUAACCUGGGAAUUGCUUUCAAAACUGACGAGCUAGAGUACGGUAGAGGGUAGUGGAAUUUCCUGUGUAGCGGUGAAAUGCGUAGAUAUAGGAAGGAACAUCAGUGGCGAAGGCGACUACCUGGACUGAUACUGACACUGAGGUGCGAAAGCGUGGGGAGCAAACA
rnacentral:rRNA from 1 species